AACCAGCUGGAGACAGAGUUCUACGUGAUAAGCCUGUUACAUUUGCAGAGUAAGCAGGAACACCUAAUGGCUCGGCUCCCUAAUGACUCAGGGACCAGGCUCUGACCAACCAUAGCAGUUCAUGUACGGAAGGAUGGUGGCUCUACUGAGUGAUGGGGUAACCUUCAGGAGGUGGAGUCUAGUGGAAGGAAGUUGGGUCAUUGGAGGUGUGCCCUUGAAGGAGACAAUCAAACCCCGCCCCUCCUCUCUCUUCUUGCAACUUGGAUACUUUAGUGGUUUUGUUCAACUCCCACAACAAAAUGCUGCCUCACCAAAGGACCAAAAGCAACAGAGCCACCCAACUAUAGACUGAAACUGUGAGCCAUGAAAAAAACCCUUUCUCCUUCAAGUUGAUUCCGUCUCAAGUAUGUUUGUCACACUGAUGGAAGUCUAACACGAGACUUCAAACCGACCUCAGUCUACAUCAAAUUUACCAUCCAUUACAAGCUCUCUGUAGUGGUGACGUCACGUUUCAUUACCCCAUCCUUGCAAUUAUCCCCAAAAGGCAAAAGCCAAGAUGUGAAUCAUCUCACUUGUCAUUUAUGUUUUCAUGUAUGUCUUUAACAAGACAUACUGUUAUUGAACAAGACACCUGUGAUUCACCAACAGCUCCUUCCUAGCAUGAAGCUUUUCACCUAGAAGGCUUUAAAUAACAUUUUGAGAUAUAAUACAAACCCCCAAAAGCAGACCGUUAAAGUCUUGGCUUCCCCUGAUGACAUCUGUAGACUUGAAAAUGAAAUAAAGUGAACUCUUGCUACUUGGAGAAUUUUAAAACCAGGAUAUUAAAAUCAAAGACCUCUGGAGUUCAUCCUUAAAAGCUUCUAAAAGGAGGAACUAAUGUGGAUGAGGGGUUGAUUUAGAA